CCUACGGGCGGCAGCAGUGGGGAAUAUUGGACAAUGGGGGCAACCCUGAUCCUGCCAUGCCGCGUGUGUGAAGAAGGCCCUCGGGUUGUAAAGCACUUUCAGUGAGGAAGAACGCCUGGUGGUUAAUACCCAUCAGGAAAGACAUCACUCACAGAAGAAGCACCGGCUAACUCCGUGCCAGCAGCCGCGGUAAUACGGAGGGUGCGAGCGUUAAUCGGAAUUACUGGGCGUAAAGCGCGCGUAGGUGGCUUGAUAAGCCGGUUGUGAAAGCCCCGGGCUCAACCUGGGAACGGCAUCCGGAACUGUCAAGCUAGAGUGCAGGAGAGGAAGGUAGAAUUCCCGGUGUAGCGGUGAAAUGCGUAGAGAUCGGGAGGAAUACCAGUGGCGAAGGCGGCCUUCUGGACUGACACUGACACUGAGGUGCGAAAGCGUGGGUAGCAAACAGGAUUAGAUACCCGAGUAGUC
rnacentral:rRNA from 1 species